rnacentral:tRNA from 1 species
UGCGGGAUGGUGUAGCGGUAACAUUGAGGGUUCAUGUCCCUAAGCCCUGGGUUCGAUUCCCAGUCCCGCAUCCA